GGACACAACCACCGCCGGUACUCGACGCAUCACUGACAAGAUCUCCAGUGUCAGCGCUCGCCUGGCAUCGCCUGCAUCUGAUUUCGGUCGCCGUUGUCCCUUCCCACUUUGCUCCGGCGACAUGGGUGGUGACUCCCACCUCUGCCCGCCUCCUCCGAUCAUGCUCGGUUAUAGAGGACCAGCUGAACAACUUGGGGGCUGGGUGAAGUUCACUAAUUAGUUUAGUGUUUUCCAGAUAUUGUUUUGUUGCAGUUCAGUAAGGUUUUUACUUUUCUUUUUAAUGUGUUUGAUGUGGGUGCAUCUCCCUCAGGGACCAUAGACGACAAGCGCGGAGAUGGCUAGCAUCAGCUCAGGGUUCACGAUGUUGUGCUAUGGUUCAGUUGCCGCCGGAAUACAAAAAUGACCAGCAAAAGAGUGAGGAAAAAGUGCACUGCAAGCCCAGAUGAGACUAUAAAAGAAACAAGUUCACUGCACGCCACUCGUUCCCUUGUUCUUUAUCUCUGGUCUUUGUCAGUUGCGGUGUUGUUUCUGAGAAAUGCAGUGCGCCGGCGCCGGCUUGCAUUUCACUGUAGUUCGUUCGCCCCGCCUCGUAGUAGUCAAGAGAUGUAUAGAUCGCAGCUCUCUCGAAAACCUGCAUUGAAGCAAACAACAAAAAAACUUUUUUUAGGUGCAGCUCACUUGUUUCAUUGCCGCAGUGAUCUUCUCUCUCCCAAUGGUUCACUAUGUUGCCAAGUGCAAAAACAAAUUGGAAAAGUUUAUUUUUUUAGUGCA